UAAGACGUAGGGGGCAAGCGUUGUCCGGAAUCAUUGGGCGUAAAGCGCUCGUAGGCGGACCUUUAAGUCGGUGAAGAAAGACCUGGGCUCAACUCAGGGAACGGCAUCGAUACUAUUGGUCUUGAGGUAAUUAGAGGAUGAUGGAAUCCCCGGUGUAGCGGUGAAAUGCGUAGAUAUCGGGAGGAACACCAGUGGCGAAGGCGAUCAUCUGGGAUUAACCUGACGCUGAGGAGCGAAAGCCAGGGGAGCAAACGGG
rnacentral:rRNA from 1 species